rnacentral:rRNA from 2 species
CUUGUUGGUGGGGUAACGGCUCACCAAGGCGACGAUCCCUAGCUGGUCUGAGAGGAUGACCAGCCACACUGGAACUGAGACACGGUCCAGACUCCUACGGGAGGCAGCAGUGGGGAAUAUUGCACAAUGGGCGCAAGCCUGAUGCAGCCAUGCCGCGUGUAUGAAGAAGGCCUUCGGGUUGUAAAGUACUUUCAGCGGGGAGGAAGGGAGUAAAGUUAAUACCUUUGCUCAUUGACGUUAUCCGCAGAAGAAGCACCGGCUAACUCCGUGCCAGCAGCCGCGGUAAUACGGAGGGUGCAAGCGUUAAUCGGAAUUACUGGGCGUAAAGCGCACGCAGGCGGUUUGUUAAGUCAGAUGUGAAAUCCCCGGGCUCAACCUGGGAACUGCAUCUGAUACUGGCAAGCUUGAGUCUCGUAGAGGGGGGUAGAAUUCCAGGUGUAGCGGUGAAAUGCGUAGAGAUCUGGAGGAAUACCGGUGGCGAAGGCGGCCCCCUGGACGAAGACUGACGCUCAGGUGCGAAAGCGUGGGGAGCAAACAGGAUUAGAUACCCUGGUAGUCCACGCCGUAAACGAUGUCGACUUGGAGGUUGUGCCCUUGAGGCGUGGCUUCCGGAGCUAACGCGUUAAGUCGACCGCCUGGGGAGUACGGCCGCAAGGUUAAAACUCAAAUGAAUUGACGGGGGCCCGCACAAGCGGUGGAGCAUGUGGUUUAAUUCGAUGCAACGCGAAGAACCUUACCUGGUCUUGACAUCCACGGAAGUUUUCAGAGAUGAGAAUGUGCCUUCGGGAACCGUGAGACAGGUGCUGCAUGGCUGUCGUCAGCUCGUGUUGUGAAAUGUUGGGUUAAGUCCCGCAACGAGCGCAACCCUUAUCCUUUGUUGCCAGCGGUCCGGCCGGGAACUCAAAGGAGACUGCCAGUGAUAAACUGGAGGAAGGUGGGGACGACGUCAAGUCAUCAUGGCCCUUACGACCAGGGCUACACACGUGCUACAAUGGCGCAUACAAAGAGAAGCGACCUCGCGAGAGCAAGCGGACCUCAUAAAGUGCGUCGUAGUCCGGAUUGGAGUCUGCAACUCGACUCCAUGAAGUCGGAAUCGCUAGUAAUCGUGGAUCAGAAUGCCACGGUGAAUACGUUCCCGGGCCUUGUACACACCGCCCGUCACACCAUGGGAGUGGGUUGCAAAAGAAGUAGGUAGCUUAACCUUCGGGAGGGCGCUUACCACUUUGUGAUUCAUGACUGGGGUGAAGUCGUAACAAGGUAACCGUAGGGGAACCUGCGGUUGGAUCACCUCCUUA